GAUGAACGCUGGCGGCGUGCCUAAUACAUGCAAGUCGAGCGAACAGACGAGGAGCUUGCUCCUCUGACGUUAGCGGCGGACGGGUGAGUAACACGUGGAUAACCUACCUAUCAGACUGGGAUAACUUCGGGAAACCGGAUCUAAUACCGGAUAAUAUAUUGAACCGCAUGGUUCAAUAGUGAAAUACGGUUUUGCUGUCACUUAUAGAUGGAUGCGGGCCGCAUUAGCUGUUGGUAAGGUAACGGCUUACCAAGGCAACGAUGCGUAGCCGGCCUGAGAGGGUGGUAGCCCACACGGGAACUGAGACACGGACCAGACGCCUACGGGAGGCAGCAGUAGGGAAUCUUACGCAAUGGGCGAGAGCCUGACGGAGCAACGCCGCGUGAGUGAUGAAGGUCUUCGGAUCGUAAAGCUCUGUUAUUAGGGAAGAACAAAUGUGUAAGUAACUAUGCACGUCUUGACGGUACCUAAUCAGAAAGCCACGGCUAACUACGUG
rnacentral:rRNA from 1 species